rnacentral:rRNA from 1 species
UACAGAGGGGGCAAGCGUUGUUCGGAAUUACUGGGCGUAAAGGGCGCGUAGGCGGCCUUCUAAGUCGGACGUGAAAUCCCCGGGCUCAACCCGGGAACUGCGUCCGAUACUGGAAGGCUUGAGUCCGGGAGAGGGUUGUGGAAUUCCAGGUGUAGCGGUGAAAUGCGUAGAUAUCUGGAGGAAUACCGGUGGCGAAGGCGGCAUCCUGGACCGGCACUGACGCUGAGGAGCGAAAGCCAGGGGAGCAAACGGG